CCUUUCUAAGGAUGAUCAAGAAUUGGAACUCUUUAUUAAUAAAGACCCUUCCUUUUUGAUCUCAUUAGACAUACAGGUCUUAAACAAUUUCGUUUAGGCCUUUGCAUAUGACACCACUCUUUAUAAACCCCCUCUUAAAGAGAGAGUCCUCUUUGAUAAAAAGAGAAUCUCACCUUGAUGAGAGAGUUCUGUGAAGAACCAAGUGUUCAUAUGUUACGUUAUACAAGCAGGCUAGCCGUCUUCGUUUCUCUUUCUUCAGAUGAUGAUCCCAAGCCUUCUGGCGAUCUCUUAGCAAUAAAGACCCUUCAUUUUUUAAAAGGACGCUUUAGAAAGGAAAGCUGUAAAAAGCUUUUCUCUAAGAAUAUGCCGGGGAAGGUUUUCCGGUUUAUCCCGGAGGGCUUGUAGCUCAGUUGGUUAGAGCGCGCGCUUGAUAAGCGUGAGGUCGGAGGUUCAAGUCCUCCCAGGCCCACCAAUCACUCUAUCAAUUUCAUGAAGCGCUGACGGACUUGCUUAUAGGCAAGAAGCCUAUAAAGUCUACAAACCGAUAAAGCCUAUAAAUUUGUAAGAAACUUACAUAUCUUGCUUAGUAAUGCCUCAAACACAUUUUUAAGGGUAGCUGCCAUCUCUCAUAAGACUUAACAGUGAUGUCAUCACUUGAAUUUUAAAAGUGAAAUUGUCACUUAAAGUGAAGUUCUAUUGAUUAAAUGCAGGAGAUAAAAAUGGAGUUUGUUUGUCAGGGUGCUUACAAAAAGCAUAUGUUGUUUGCAAAGGGCCUUUGUAAAAUGGAAGAGCUAUGCUGUAUGCUUUAAGCAGUCCAAAGUCAAAAUUGUUCAAAGCCAAAGUAAUAAUCUCCUUACGGGGCUAUGCUGUAAGUCUUCUUAUUUUAAGAGUUUGGAAUGGGUUAUGCUAUUUUAGGGGCCGUAGCUCAGCUGGGAGAGCACCUGCUUUGCAAGCAGGGGGUCGUCGGUUCGAUCCCGUCCGGCUCCACCAUUUAGAUCAUCAUCAUUGUUGUGAGAACAUCGUUUUGUGAGAGGUUUUAGUAACCUUUCGCCUGUUCUAUUGAAAUUGUGAAGAGAAGAUAUAUUCAGACAUGAUUUUUUAUGCUCUGUCUUUUAAAAGAUUUUUAAAAGAUAAAGUUAUGGAAAAUGAUGUGUCGCAAGGGAAUGCUCAAAGCCCUUGCCUAUGAUUGGAAGCUUAACCGCGCCACUGAGUAUAUCUCGAGAAGCUGGUCUUUUCUGUUGAUAUUUAUGCUUGUUUUGCGCUUUGUUUUGCACAAGACACAAGAGGAGCGGACAAGCAGAUGAAUAAUGAUGAAUCUAAAGCAGAUGAAUAAGUUAAGUGAUGACAAACAAAAUGCUUAACAAUGCGCUUGGCAAUUAAGUGUGUUGGACAAAUUGUGAACAUCAGUAAUUAGCAUCAGUACCCGAUAUACAGGACUAUUGCGUAGAGGCA
rnacentral:tRNA from 1 species